AGCGAACGCUGGCGGCAGGCUUAACACAUGCAAGUCGAGCGGAGCGAGGGUGCUUGCACCUUAGCUUAGCGGCGGACGGGUGAGUAAUGCUUAGGAAUCUGCCUAUUAGUGGGGGACAACAUUCCGAAAGGAAUGCUAAUACCGCAUACGCCCUACGGGGGAAAGCAGGGGAUCUUCGGACCUUGCGCUAAUAGAUGAGCCUAAGUCGGAUUAGCUAGUUGGUGGGGUAAAGGCUUACCAAGGCGACGAUCUGUAGCGGGUCUGAGAGGAUGAUCCGCCACACUGGGACUGAGACACGGCCCAGACUCCUACGGGAGGCAGCAGUGGGGAAUAUUGGACAAUGGGCGGAAGCCUGAUCCAGCCAUGCCGCGUGUGUGAAGAAGGCCUUUUGGUUGUAAAGCACUUUAAGCGAGGAGGAGGCUCUUAAGGUUAAUACCCUUGAUGAGUGGACGUUACUCGCAGAAUAAGCACCGGCUAACUCUGUGCCAGCCGCCGCGGUAACAC
rnacentral:rRNA from 1 species